rnacentral:rRNA from 1 species
UGGCCUGCUCACUGAAAUUUAAAGAGCUGCAGUAUAUUAACUGUACAAAGGUAGCAUAAUCAUUAGUUUUUUAAUUGAGGACUGGUAUGAAAGGUUUGACGAGAAUUGACUGUCUUUAUUAUAAAAAAUUGAAAUUAAUUUCUUUGUGAAAAAGCAAAGAUAAAAUAAAGGGACAAGAAGACCCUGUUAAGCUUUAAUUUAAUUAGUUAUUUUUGAGCUAUAAGUUUAGAUUAUUAAGUUAUAUUUUAUUUGGGGCGAAUGAUUUAUAAACAAUAUUUUAUUAUUAAUAGGUUGGUUAAAAUUUAAGUUUGAUCCAAGGUGGUUGAAUGGAAGAGUAAGCUACUAUAGGGAUAACAGCGUUAUAUUUUUUGAGAGUUCAUAUUGACAAAAAUGUUUGCGACCUCGAUGUUGGAUCAAGAUGUCUUAAUAAUGAAGAGGUUAUUUGGAGAUGGUCUGUUCGACCAGUAAUAUCUUACGUGAUCUGAGUUCAAACCGGAGA